GGGAUAGUUCAGUUGGGACCCGAACAUGAGACUUUUAAUCUCAUGGUCGUGGGUUUGAGCCCUACACUGGGUGCA